rnacentral:guide_RNA from 1 species
GUAUAUCGGAAGGGAGUAAUUCCCUGUAGCUCGUGUAU